CUUCCUCGUUCUCAACACUGCGAAAGCCAACUCCUUUUCUUACCGCGAGUGACCGCCACCCUUCCCUCGAACACCUUUGCCUCUUGGUUCGUAGGGUCCCCUCGCUGGUUUUCGCUUCUUUGCUCUGCUCUCCACCACUGCGGCGAUGGCCAAGCCUCCUGAUCUCCGCGGCCGCUGCCAUGUUGGUGGUGGCGUGCGUCCUCGCGGCGCUGGCCCUCGCCGAGCGCGGCAUCGCCGGCGUCAAGCGGGGGUUCGUCGCCCAGGGCCGCGUCUUCCGCGACACCUGCCGUGCCGGGUUCGAGACGCCGGCGUCGACCUACAUCAGAGGUGCAAAGGUGAGUUGAGUGUAGAUCAAAAGUCAUUGGUACAACGAUCUGCAGUUUUGAGGGUACGACUGAUCACACAGGAACCUACAACAUCCUAGUUGCAGAUGAGCAUGAGAAUGAGAUCUGUGUGUCUGUGCUCAUUAGCAGCCCAGCGAGCGGAUGCAAGACUGCACUCCAGGGUCGUGAGAGGGCUCAAGUGUUCCUAACCCACAACAACGGUAUCGCCUUAGACACGAGAUACACAAACUCACUAUGCUUCCUGAAGGACUCUUCCCUGCCAGUCUGUGCCCAACUUCUCCAACCUAUGAGCAAUCUGAAGUUUAAGGUAGAAUACUACUUUACCUCUGGGCUCUUUGGUUCUAUGUCCUAAUGACUCCUAUAAAUUGUCCUGGCACUUUAUUGGUUUUAUGCGACAUUCAUUACGUGGUUUGUCGCUGCUUGUGGCUACUAUCUGUUCCAAGUUUAUUCAGCAUGCUUUCGCUAUCAUCUUUGCUUUCUGAUGGCUGAUAUGCUACUUGGUCAUGGCAUGUAAUAGUUCAGUGUAUCACUGUAUCUAUUAACUUGGUCUAUAGUGGAUUACUGAUUUAAUUAAGGGCAAUUCCAAA